rnacentral:pre_miRNA from 1 species
AGGAGGAACGACAACAGUGGUGGCAGCCGCUCUGGAGCCCUGGAUUCAGCUCCUGCAGUAACUAUGGAGCUCUCCCUCUGCAGGGCCUGGAUGCUCCGGGGGCGG